rnacentral:rRNA from 1 species
UAGGAUAGAGGCCUACCAUGGUGGUGACGGGUGACGGAGAAUUAGGGUUCGAUUCCGGAGAGGGAGCCUGAGAAACGGCUACCACAUCCAAGGAUGGCAGCAGGCGCGCAAAUUACCCAAUCCCGACACGGGGAGGUAGUGACAAUAAAUAACAAUACGGGGUUCUUUAGGAUCUCGUAGUUGGAAUGAGUACAAUUUAAAUCUCUUAACGAGGAACAAUUGGAGGGCAAGUCUGGUGCCAGCAGCCGCGGUAAUUCCAGCUCCAAUAGCGUAUAUUAAAGUUGUUGCAGUUAAAAAGCUCGUAGUUGAAUUUCGGGGUUAGUAGGUUGGUCAUGCCUCUGGUAUGUACUGGUCUCACUGAUUCCUCCUUCCUUAUGAACCGUAAUGCCAUUAAUUUGGUGUUGCGGGGAAUUUGGACUGUUACUUUGAAAAAAUUAGAGUGUUUAAAGCAAGCUAACGCUUGAAUACAUUAGCAUGGAAUAAUGAAAUAGGACGUUCGAUCUUAUUUUGUUGGUUUCUAGGAUUGACGUAAUGAUUAAUAGGGAUAGUUGGGGGCAUUAGUAUUCAAUUGUCAGAGGUGAAAUUCUUGGAUUUAUUGAAGACUAACUACUGCGAAAGCAUUUGCCAAGGAUGUUUUCAUUAAUCAAGAACGAAAGUUAGGGGAUCGAAGACGAUCAGAUACCGUCGUAGUCUUAACCAUAAACUAUGCCGACUAGGGAUCGGAUG